rnacentral:lncRNA from 1 species
GAGGGCAGUGCGGAGUGUGUUCCUGACGCCUGUUUACUAAGGUCUGGGGACACGGAGUCAGCGUGGGAGGACGGAGAUUCUCAGUUGACUGAGAUUCUGGUUUUCACCGUUUUCCAUCGCAUAAAGUGCUACUUUGUUUCGGCAGUAACCACCAGCCUGGUGCGUUUCGAAGCUGCAGAUUUUGACAACCGCCCGUCCCCCGCCUGGGCCUGAAGCUGGAGCAGAAAUGCACGGAUUGCGUUUUCAAGAACAAGAGCAGAGACUGAUUAAAAUUUUAGGGUGCAAACCCUUGAGGUGCUACAGAGUGCCUUUGCUUUUCCUGCUUGGAUCCAAUGAUCUCCGUAGAUUUAGGGUAAAAGUUGCUUAGGAGGAGCUGGAGAGAUGGCUCCAGCCGUUAAAAGCGGUUGCAGCUCUUUCAGAGACCAGGUUUGACUCCCAUCCCCCACGUGACUGCUGACCACCUUCUGUAACCUUCAGUAACAGCGGUUCCCCAUUUUCUUCUGGCCUCUGAUGGGGGUCCAGCAUAAACCUGGUGCUUAAACUCACACCCUCACGCCCCACCACACACACAGUACAUCUUAAAACUGCUUAAGAUAGCUGUUCAUCAUAAAUCAAGGGACGGUGGGGUGGGACCAGUAGCUAACCUCUUAGAAUAAAAAUAAUAAAAAUAAAAAUGUUAAAAUACACAGGGGGCCAUUUUCACUCUUAAGCUCAAAGUAGUGUGCUUUUUAUUCUUCAACAAAACCAAGGAAACUGAUUCAACUUAGAAGCUAAUGCAACAGUUAAGUGUUGCUGAAAUCAAUAAAAUAAAAAUAAUGAGAGCGGAGGUUAGGGCAUUAAGUGUUCCUGAUGACAUGCCAAACUAUUUUAGAGAUGGCGGCCAAAGCUUCUGCACAAGUGGGUUUGAUGUAUCUCUCAGGCAGCAAGAAUCCGUAUCUGCCUGUAUCUCGGAGCUCAAUUGUAAACGAAUAUUUGAUGCCCAAAUCAUAGAUCCAAUCGUCAGAACCUCCAGGAGCUAGAUCUAAAAGAGACACAAAAUAUAUUUAUUUCAUAGCAACAAACACUUUAUUUCAUUGUAGAAACGAAAAUAGCUUCCUUCUGGAUGUUACCUAAAUUUCUUAUCUGAAAGUUGUAGUCAUCUAAAAGAAACCAUGUUAAGAAAGAAAACACAUGUUGCCCAGAACUCAACAAUAAUCUGAUUAAGGAGUGAUAACUGCCAAUAACAUUUUAGUACAUUUUACAGUGCAUGUACUUUCUGUCUUAAUUUGUAACAUUUCUGGAAGUAAUUAUUGUAACAUUACCAAAUGUAUCAUUAUUGUGUUUGAAUAGACAUUAUUUUGAGUCAUUUUAAGGGAUUGCAUUGUAAACUAUAGUUGAUUCAAAUAAUUUUGUUGAUAAAUAACUUAGUUUCUUUAGAAUGAGCACCAUUGUCCAUAAAUCAAUGUUUCCUACUUCAGUAGCUUUUCUAGAGUUAAAGUUCCUUGACUAAAGUGGUGUACCUUUUACAGUUACCACACUUGUCACCAAGUACUAAUCAAAAGAAUGGAACCUCUCUCCUCCCAGGAGAGUGUCAGCAUACCCAACUGGCAGCUUCUGCACCAUGGGCAAGAAUCUUGCAUCCUGUCAGUUUUCUGGGAAGAAGAAGAAGGAGGAGGAGGAGGAGGAAGAAGAAGAAGAAGAAG